CCUUUCACCUUGUCCAAGAACAAAUGACAUUAAUCAAAAUUUCCAUAUAAGAAACUACACCAUAGAAUUUAAAUCCCUGUACAUAGAUUAUAUCUAACCACUUCAAGAGGAUAGAAAAGAAAGGACAGGAUAACUUGAGAUAUAGAGAAAUUAAUGGAGAGGUUCGGGUUAUAUAUGAAGAAAAAGAAAUGAUGAAAUAAGAGAGAUAGAAAUAUAAAUUCUUAAAAAGUUUUUAUUUUUUUUAUUAAAUAACGC
rnacentral:lncRNA from 1 species